AACGAACGCUGGCGGCAUGCCUAACACAUGCAAGUCGAGCGCCCGUAGCAAUACGGGAGCGGCGCACGGGUGAGUAACGCGUGGGAACCUGCCCAGAGGUUCGGGACAACCGCGGGAAACUGCGGCUGAUACCGGAUGAUACCUGAGGGUCAAAGAUUUAUCGCCUUUGGAGGGGCCCGCGUCAGAUUAGGUAGUUGGUGAGGUAACGGCUCACCAAGCCUGUGAUCUGUAACUGGUCUGAGAGGAUGACCAGUCACACUGGGACUGAGACACGGCCCAGACUCCUACGGGAGGCAGCAGUGGGGAGUAUUGGACAAUGGGGGCAACCCUGAUCCAGCAAUGCCGCGUGGGUGAUGAAGGCCUUCGGGUUGUAAAGCCCUUUCGGCGGGGACGAUGAUGACGGUACCCGCAGAAGAAGCCCCGGCUAACCUCGUGCCAGCCGCCGCUGUAA
rnacentral:rRNA from 1 species